UAUGUGAUCGUCUCUCGCAUAUCAAUAAGCGGAGGAAAAGGAGUAUACCUACGCUUAGGAUGUUGAAGAUGUAGCACAUCAUACACGCAUGACACACUGCAUAUCAAUAAGCGGAGGAAAAGCAUAACAUGUAUACCUACGCUUAGGAUGUUGACGAGACUGUCGAUCUCAUCUAUACAUGACUCUGUGCAUAUCAAUAAGCGGAGGAAAAGAAACUAACAAGGAUUCCCUUAGUAACGGCGAGUGAAGCGGGAAGAGCUCAAAUUUGAAAUCUUCAAGGUUUUACCUUGACGAAUUGUAGUUUAAAGAAGUGUUUUCUGUUGAAGUUUUGGUAAGAGUUCUUUGGAAUAGGACAUCAUAGAGGGUGAGAAUCCCGUAUUUGACCAUUAUUUUCAGCUGUGUGAUACACUUUCAAAGAGUCGGAUUGUUUGGGAAUGCAGUCCAAAAUGGGUGGUAAAUUUCAUCUAAAGCUAAAUAUUGGCGAGAGACCGAUAGCGAACAUGUACCGUGAGGGAAAGAUGAAAAGAACUUUGAAAAGAGAGUUAAACAGUACGUGAAAUUGUCAAAAGGGAAGCGUUUGACACCAGUGUUGUUUUCUCGAAAAUCAAUUAAAAAGAGUUAGAUUUUGUUGUGUAUUGACCUUAACAGCUUGCAUUUCAAUUUUCUUGCUUUUUUUAAUGCACUUUUCGUUUAACAAGUCAACAUCAGUUUCUUUUGUUGUAAGAAGGUCAUUGGAAGGUGGCUUUCUUUUCGGAGAAAGUGUUUAUAGCCUUUGACUCCUGCAAUCGGAGAGACUGGGGUCUGCAGCGUAGAUCCUUCGGGGUUAGAUACAUUUGUGCUGAGUUAUAGCUUUUUAUAGACAACUUGUUGACUAUGACUAGUCUUGUAGCUUACUCGCUUAUGCUAUUUUACCUACGCUUAGGAUGUUGAAGAUGUAGCACAUCAU
rnacentral:rRNA from 1 species